UAACCACACCACCACUACCUUGUUCAUAGUUAACUAACCACACCACCACCACCUUGUUCAUAGGUAACUAACCACACCACCACUACCUUGUUCAUAGGUAACUAACCACACCACCACUACCUUGUUCGUAGUUAACUAACCACACCACCUUGUUCGUAGGCAACUAACCACACCACCUUGUUCAUAGGUAACUAACCACACGUCCUUGCUCAUAGGUAACUAACCACACCACCACGCUCAUAGGUAACUAACCACACCACCACGCUCAUAGGUAACUAACCACACCACCACGCUCAUAGGUAACUAACCACACCACCACGCUCAUAGGUAACUAACCACACCACCACGUUCAUAGGUAACUAACCACACCACCACCACCUUAUUCAUAGGUAACUAACCACACCACCACUACCUUAUUCAUAGGUAACUAACCACACCACCACUACCUUGUUCAUAGGUAACUAACCACACCACCUUGUUCAUAGGUAACUAACCACACCACCACUACCUUGUUCAUAGGUUACUAACCACACCACCACUACCUUGUUCAUAGGUAACUAACCACACCACCACUACCUUGUUCAUAGGUAACUAACCACACCACCUUGUUCAUAGGUAACUAACCACACCACCACUGCCUUAUUCAUAGGUAACUAACCACACCACCACCACCUUGUUCAUAGGUAACUAACCACACCGCCACUACCUUGUUCAUAGGUAACUAACCACACCACCUUGUUCAUAGGUAACUAACCACACCACCACCACCUUGUUCAUAGGUAACUAACCACACUGCCACUACCUUGUUCAUAGGUUACUAACCACACCACCACUACCUUAUUCAGAGGUAACUAACCACACCACCACUACCUUAUUCAUAGGUAACUAACCACACCACCACCACCUUGUUCAUAGGUAACUAACCAC
rnacentral:lncRNA from 1 species